rnacentral:lncRNA from 1 species
AUAAGAGUUCGGUUGAGAUACUUCUAAUAACACCAAACAAUUGUGCAAUUAAAUUUUUCACCAUCAGAUUACUCCUUUGAUCAAUUUCAUCUCUUAAAUCACGCUAUUACACCAAUCACCAACUAAAUCUUACGGGGACCACUAUUAUUUUAGUCAUACAAGUUUUCAUCCAAAGGCCGAAAGUUUGAUAGCAUUAGAUACUUGGUGCUAUUAAAAGUAUUUCAGUCUAAUUCUACAUAAUUUAGAGCUACAUUUUAAAAUAACUAAUUUUAAUUUUUUUA